rnacentral:rRNA from 1 species
UAGGGAAUCUUCGGCAAUGGACGAAAGUCUGACCGAGCAACGCCGCGUGAGUGAAGAAGGUUUUCGGAUCGUAAAACUCUGUUGUUAGAGAAGAACAAGGACGUUAGUAACUGAACGUCCCCUGACGGUAUCUAACCAGAAAGCCACGGCUAACUACGUGCCAGCAGCCGCGGUAAUACGUAGGUGGCAAGCGUUGUCCGGAUUUAUUGGGCGUAAAGCGAGCGCCGGCGGUUUCUUAAGUCUGAUGUGAAAGCCCCCGGCUCAACCGGGGAGGGUCAUUGGAAACUGGGAGACUUGAGUGCAGAAGAGGAGAGUGGAAUUCCAUGUGUAGCGGUGAAAUGCGUAGAUAUAUGGAGGAACGCCAGUGGCGAAGGCGGCUCUCUGGUCUGUAACUGACGCUGAGGCUCGAAAGCGUGGGGAGCAAACAGG